CUAGAAAACGGUAAAUGACACCCUGGACACAUUUCAGACCCCACCUUGUUCUUUCACACUGGCUGGGAGGAAGUGACAGUCUGUUCCUUCUUCCCAUGUUUGUGCAGGGAGACAGUGUGGAAGGGAGAGGAGGCAGCUGCAGCAUGAGGGGAGAGGAACACUCCAGGAGCUGCUCCAGACCCCUCACUUCCACCAGCCAGCAGAACCAGGACUCAAAG